CCUACGGGAGGCAGCAGUGAGGAAUAUUGGUCAAUGGACGAGAGUCUGAACCAGCCAAGUAGCGUGAAGGAUGACUGCCCUAUGGGUUGUAAACUUCUUUUAUAUGGGAAUAAAAUGUUCCACGUGUGGGAUUUUGUAUGUACCAUAUGAAUAAGGAUCGGCUAACUCCGUGCCAGCAGCCGCGGUAAUACGGAGGAUCCGAGCGUGAUCCGGAUUUAUUGGGUUUAAAGGGAGCGUAGGUGGAUUGUUAAGUCAGUUGUGAAAGUUUGCGGAUCAACCGUAAAAUUGCAGUUGAAACUGGCAGUCUGGAGGACAGUAGAGGUGGGCGGAAUUCGUGGUGUAGCGGUGAAAUGCUUAGAUAUCACGAAGAACUCCGAUUGCGAAGGCAGCUCACUGGACUGCAACUGACACUGAGGCUCGAAAGUGUGGGUAUCAAACAGGAUUAGAUACCCGAGUAGUC
rnacentral:rRNA from 1 species